AGUGAACGCUGGCGGUAGGCCUAACACAUGCAAGUCGAACGGCAGCACAGUAAGAGCCUGCUCUUACGGGUGGCGAGUGGCGGACGGGUGAGGAAUACAUCGGAAUCUACUUUUUCGUGGGGGAUAACGUAGGGAAACUUACGCUAAUACCGCAUACGACCUACGGGUGAAAGCAGGGGAUCUUCGGACCUUGCGCGAUUGAAUGAGCCGAUGUCGGAUUAGCUAGUUGGCGGGGUAAAGGCCCACCAAGGCGACGAUCCGUAGCUGGUCUGAGAGGAUGAUCAGCCACACUGGAACUGAGACACGGUCCAGACUCCUACGGGAGGCAGCAGUGGGGAAUAUUGGACAAUGGGCGCAAGCCUGAUCCAGCCAUACCGCGUGGGUGAAGAAGGCCUUCGGGUUGUAAAGCCCUUUUGUUGGGAAAGAAAAGCAGCAGGUUAAUACCCCGCUGUUCUGACGGUACCCAAAGAAUAAGCACCGGCGAACUUCGU
rnacentral:rRNA from 1 species